rnacentral:rRNA from 1 species
ACAGAGGGUGCGAGCGUUGUCCGGAAUCACUGGGCGUAAAGGGUGCGUAGGUGGCUUGGUAAGCGUGUGGUGAAAGUCCGGGGCUCAACCCCGGAUCUGCCGUGCGAACUGCUGAGCUCGAGCAAUGUAGAGGCAGGUGGAAUUUCGGGUGUAGCGGUGGAAUGCGUAGAUAUCCGAAAGAACACCAGUGGCGAAGGCGGCCUGCUGGGCAUUCGCUGACACUGAGGCACGACAGCGUGGGGAGCAAACAGGAUUAGAUACCCUGGUAGUCCACGCCGUAAACGAUGGGUACUAGGUGUCUGGGGGAGCGACCCCCUGGGUGCCGGCGCUAACGCAUGAAGUACCCCGCCUGGGGAGUACGGCCGCAAGGCUG